UGGGGAAUAUUGGACAAUGGGGGCAACCCUGAUCCAGCAAUGCCGCGUGUGUGAAGAAGGUCUUCGGAUUGUAAAGCACUUUCGACGGGGACGAUGAUGACGGUACCCGUAGAAGAAGCCCCGGCUAACUUCGUGCCAGCAGCCGCGGUAAUACGAAGGGGGCUAGCGUUGCUCGGAAUGACUGGGCGUAAAGGGCGUGUAGGCGGUUUACACAGUCAGAUGUGAAAUCCCCGG
rnacentral:rRNA from 1 species